CAUAUUUCCAUGGAUUUUGGGGGAGUAAAAGUCAAUGUUGUUUCCCCAGGGCCUCUGACCUCAUGAAGAAAUUCACUUGGAUCUCAGGGCAGCCACAUCAUUAUGCAAGCCUUGGAGAAGUAGGAGACCCAGCCUCUCAGUGCUCUGAGCCCCCAGCAGGGAGCUUGGACCAUAACAGAGGGAAAUGCAGAGACAGACACUCUACUAAGAAUGCUAAAGGGACUCCAGCAUCACCGCCCGUCCCCUUGCCGAUGAUGAGCAUACAUCCUACCACAAAGGGGAUGUGUAGGCUGGGGGAGGGGGAACUCAUCAACAGUCUCACCAAGCUACAGAAAACGUGAAUACCACUCUACUGCUCCAACAAACAAGAUACUCUGCAGACAUUCUUCUCUUGCCACUGGAAAAAUAAUAGUGAAAAAAGGAGUGAAAAACUUUCAUCUCUUGGAGCUCCCAUGUCCUGGCAAAGAGGGUGGUGCCCCAACAAGAAAAGUUGAGGAAAAUGCUGUGGAUGUGAGGUGAGCUAUGUCUGAUUUUGCUUAGAAGACUACUUAAGAAACAUGGCAAAGUUUAGGUGGAAAUGUUUAACUCCUAAGUAAAGGUACGCCUAUAGAGUAAAGGUGAAAACAUCCCUAUCAUUAUUGACUAUGUUCAGUGACAUAAAGUACCUACUCUAUGACUGGGCCAAAUGUCUCUAGGGAUAUGGCACCUACAAGCAAGAUAUUGAAUGAUUACCCUGCCUGUUUGGUUUCUAGGACAUUGUAAAUGUCUAGAUGCUAGCCAUGAAUUGGAUGGUUGUAUGCUAACUAUCACCAUGCAAUCAAACAAAAGAGACACUAUCUUCCUGAAAUUGAUGGUCAAGCACAGCUUGAUGGAUGCUAUGGCAAUAUUAAGUUAAAUUCGAUGUACAUAAAGUACCUAUGAUCCCAUAAGAACAAAGAUAAAGCACUUGUAUUACUACCUUCAUUCUCAUGACUUAGGGUUUGCCUUGAUUUUAGCCUCUUUGAUUUUAAUGUGGAUACAUUAAACUUACAUGUGUUUGUAGGAUGCUACAUGAUAUUUAUGUGUCUGUGGGUAUUUUGUUUGUUUGGAUGGAAAACAGGGUCCCAGGGAUCCUUGGCUGUCCUUGAAAUAGCUAUGUAGAAAAAAUUGGCCUCAAACUUCUGAUCUUCCUGGCUCCAGUUUCCAAGUAGUAGGAUUACAGGUUUGCAUCACGUUGUCUGUUUUACCCACCAUCUCAGUUCUAAUAUUCAAGCAGAAGGGUCUGCUACCUGCAGUACUCUUGACAUGACUUCCUGUAGGCAGCUCUUCCAAAACUCGAUAGGCCACUAAGCUCCUGUCCACACGGCUGGCUGCCCUGUCAGCUCAAGUCACCAUGUUAAACUGACAUGGCCAGAGCUUGCAAAUUCCAAAAUCACUCUGUUAAGUACUCUGAUAGUAUUUGUGCCUGACCUACAAAUCAUAUGACCAUUCACUUACUUAUAUACAAACUUGCAUCACAAAUAAGUCCAGAUUUAAAAAUACUUCUGAGAUAGGUUUUCAU